ACACUCCUACGGGAGGCAGCAGUGGGGAAUUUUGGACAAUGGGCGAAAGCCUGAUCCAGCAAUGCCGCGUGAGUGAAGAAGGCCUUCGGGUUGUAAAGCUCUUUUGUCAGGGAAGAAAAGGUGAGAGCUAAUAUCUCUUGCUAAUGACGGUACCUGAAGAAUAAGCACCGGCUAACUACGUGCCAGCAGCCGCGGUAAUACGUAGGGUGCAAGCGUUAAUCGGAAUUACUGGGCGUAAAGCGUGCGCAGGCGGUUUUGUAAGUCUGAUGUGAAAUCCCCGGGCUCAACCUGGGAAUUGCAUUGGAGACUGCAAGGCUAGAAUCUGGCAGAGGGGGGUAGAAUUCCACGUGUAGCAGUGAAAUGCGUAGAUAUGUGGAGGAACACCGAUGGCGAAGGCAGCCCCCUGGGUCAAGAUUGACGCUCAUGCACGAAAGCGUGGGGAGCAAACAGGAUUAGAAACCCCGGUAGUCCCAUG
rnacentral:rRNA from 1 species